CAGCCCCGCACGCCAGACCGGAAAGCGCCGUCAGUCCAGGACUAUUUGUUGUGUACACUGUUUACCGACACGUCAUCAUCCAAUAUGAAGUAUACACUUAAAAGUUGUCAUGGACUGUGCACAAGCGUCUCUAUCAAAGUACAAUGCUUGGCCUGAAGCGGAAAAAAAGGAAUUCUUGAAAUAAACUCACCAGCCAGUAAAUUCUUCAGAGUGUCAUAUGUGAAGAAACUGCAACCGGCGUAUGGAAUGACUCCCAAGAGAGUUGCAGUGAAACCUCGA